GCCAGGCGCAGUGGUGCAUGCCAGUAAUCUCAGCAGCUCAGGAGGCUGAGGCAGGAGGAUCACAAGUUCAAAGCCACUCUCAGCAACUUUGCAACUUGGUGAGACCCCGUCUCUA
rnacentral:sRNA from 1 species